UUUCAGUUUCACAGACUCUUCCCCUUUCACCUUACCUUCUUCCUUUUCUCCUACUCUCAGCUUUCAAGUUCGUUUAAAACCUUUCUUUCAUACACUGCUUCUCCUUGCUCCAAAGAUUGCCCUCUAGAUCGAUUUCCAGCACCUCCUCCGUCUGGAACACCCUCAUCAUCGGCUUCAUCUGCUACCAGGAGCCCCUCGACGCCCUCCUUCUCUACGCCCACGUGAGAGCCGCCACUUCCCCCCCCCACCCACUUCGAUUCCUACAGAGAACCCCCAACAUAUGCCUCGCGGAUUUGAUUCUUUUGUGGUCGAUGGGUUUCUUUGGAGCUCCUUCAAGCCACGUUUGCAAUUGAGAUAUUAUGCCCCCUUGAUUUCUGACGUUUUCACUCGAUCAGAAGCAUCUUACUGUGAACUGAAGCAAUUAACAGUAGUCGCUCACUCUUCAGGUUGGGGACAGCAGUGCUUUUCCUCAAGUGAUCAGGUUGGGGACAGCGGUGCUUUUCCUCAAGUGAUCAGGCGGUGAUGAGUGAUGAACUUUGGAAGCGUUAUCUUCUUUGACAUUGUUACGCUUUCUGAAACGUAUCAAUAGCUCUCGACUCCCCUUCUGAUGAAACAUAACUAUCUCUUUCAUUUUUCACAAAAACUUCUGCAACUCUUGCGGCGCAGCUUUCUUUUCCACUAGGGUUUGGCCGCACAAAAUCGUCAACUUCGCAACUCUUUGAUUGUUCUUCUGAGAUUAUCUUCUUCCUCCUGAUCUCAAGGUUCGUUUGCUCUCCCCUCUUCUUUCCGUCUUUCAUUCGUUCAUCUCAAUCGACCUUACUAUGUGAUUAAGGUUCGACUACCGUCUUUCUGUUUGGUCUUCAAUCUGUAAUGAAAAUAUUGUGGUUUUGGUCUUUAUCAGCGGCAUGGAUAAGAUUUUGAAACCGGGGAAGGUUCGAUCAGUAUCGCAAUUUCACUUCUUCUUCUUCAACUUCGCGAUCAUGCUUCAGUUCCCGAGGGCUUAAUUACCACCUUUCACUUUAUCCUUGCUGUCUCCGCUUCACCAUCACCACUUCAAAGACGAAGCUUCCAGAACCCACCCAGAAAAGUGUGUUCCAGAGGCAUGGAUGGAAGAUAGUGAUGGGAAUGGGAAAGAGAAGGAGUUAGCGGGAGAAAAUGGUUUCCUGAAAGUGUCAGAGGCUUCUAUCAGUUCUACUAAGGCUAUGUAAAAUCCUGAUAGAAUUUCUCAAGGACUGAGGCUGCUAAUAGAUCCAGUAAGAAUGACACUUGAAGAGACUUUUGAAAAAACAACAUGCAAAAGGGAUCAAGUCUCAAAUAUAAAUUCUAACUUGACAGUUGCAAGGUUUUGGAUUCUCUGCUUCAUAGUCUCAAUAGCUAUCUGCUUGCUAUUCCUCAAACACUUCAAUUGGCUUCGUCCAUGAAUUCUGCAGCAGACCAACCCACGGUGGAGAGGAGCAUUCACACGAGCCCUAUGCAGCAGCUUCGGUGGCACCGCGCGGCAUGUUCAGAUACUCAUAGAACUGGCUUCGGUUUGAUUAUCAGGGAUGUCCAGGGGGAUUUAUUAUUUGCUGCGUGCUACAAACCUCUAAGCAAAUUCAAUCCCACCUUGGCAGAAGCAAGCUGUUUUAGUUAUCAUCAGAGUCAUCUUCUGCACGACCAUCGCAGAUUCUAGCUCCAAUUUUAAUGGGGACGUGACAUCUACACCUGCGCUGAGCUUUGCCCCACCUGCUUUAUUAAGUUGGUAGCAGCACAACAAGAAAGCUAAGAUUAGUUUCACCUUUGAAGGCUAUAGAAGUAGAAGUACUUCAAGCAUGAAUCCAGAAUUAAAGGAAACAACAGGGAGCAAGAGUUUUUGCCAGGUUUGGUGAAGCUUUUGCAGGAAAUGCAGGGGUGGCAGAGAAAAAAACACUAUCUCCUGAAGCAUUCCACAAAAGCAUAACUGUGGUGAUGAUCAGGAAGUGGGGUUUCCGGCAGCAUAGACAACCAUGCUCCUGCAAGAGCCUGCCAAAUUUGGCGGUGAAAAAAAGAAUGUUCGCUUUACUCUCUUUUUUUGUUUUUUAUUUUUCUCCCCUAAAUUUUGAACAACAGCUGGGUUGACAUUUUCACUAAAGCUAUCAGUUGUAAUCAGGUAUUAUGUCUGAAGUCGCAGCUCUUUGCCGCUUCACAAUUCUGAACCUGAAAGUCUCAUGAGGUGGAGUUUUGUGUCCUAUAGAGAAAGAAGAUGAUGAAUUUGAGGCCAUAAUCUUUUUAGUGUGACUCGGGAUAAUUCAUUGGUUUUGCCAUGACUUGAACAUGCAUCAACCCCUUCAGGGAGGACUUCUUGGUUACAAAGUCCAUUGCAUGAAAACCUCAAUUGUUCAAGAAUACUUUUUCAGGUCAUAGAGCAUCCUUGAAAAAAGAUGUCAGCUAUAGAUGGAUGUAAUGGGAGAUGCUUGAUUCAUUUAGCAUGCUGCAACUUUCCAAAGGAGCGUGCAUGUUGCAGGGUGUGAGUUCAUUUGUCAAUGGAAUGAAAGAUCUUGAAAAGGCAAUUUGUUGAAAUAUAUUUAAGAAAAUAUGCAAUGUUUGCAUUCUGUGAUUGAUAUUGUACUAUUGUAGAUUGACAGUUUCCUAUACUUGCAUUUGAUUUUGAGCUGGGCCUUUUCAACUACUUAUUUUUAGACCAAAUUGUUGAAUGUGCGAUCUCAGUAAGUUUAAUCUUUUUGAAUAAUGAUUUAAAUAAGUGUUCUAUU